rnacentral:rRNA from 1 species
GAUGAACGCUGGCGGCGUGCCUAAUACAUGCAAGUCGAGCGAAUGGAUUAAGAGCUUGCUCUUAUGAAGUUAGCGGCGGACGGGUGAGUAACACGUGGGUAACCUGCCCAUAAGACUGGGAUAACCCCGGGAAACCGGGGCUAAUACCGGAUAACAUUUUGAACCGCAUGGUUCGAAAUUGUAAGGCGGCUUCGGCUGUCACUUAUCGAUGGACCCGCGUCGCAUUAGCAAGUUGGUGGGGUAACGGCUCACCAGGGCAACGAUGCGUAGCCGACCUGAGAGGGUGAUCGGCCACACUGGGACUGAGACACGGCCCAGACUACUACGGGAGGCAGCAGUAGGGAAUCUUCCGCAAUGGACGAAAGUCUGACGGAGCAACGCCGCGUGAGUGAUGAAGGCUUUCGGGUCGUAAAACUCUGUUGUUAGGGAAGAACAAGUGCUAGUUGAAUAAGCUGGCACCUUGACGGUACCUAACCAGAAAGCCACGGCUAACUACGUGCCAGCAGCCGCGGUAA